UGCUGGAAAAGCAGACAUACAGAGAUGAGAUGCAAUAGUGGGGGAGCAGAGCAAAACGGGAAAGGAAAAGCAGAUGUGGGAACUACAUGUCAUCCUCAGCUCCCUGUUCCCCCUUCUUUUGUAAGAGGUGACCAAAAAUCUCUGGAAAGUGCUCGAGAUUAGAUCAAGGAAAAAGGAAACUGCUGAAUAUGAGCAAUGACCCCAGUGAAAACUGAGGUGCUUUAUAUGGAACAUGACACUGGCUGGAACAGCUGAACACCAGAGAGUCAUUGUCUCUGGGCCAAAUACUGAACUGUUCGCCUGUAAAUCCAUACUGAUGGUGAACACAGGUUAUAAAAUGACACAACAUGAGCGCAGCAGAGGAAACAGAAGAGAGCAUCAGAAUAAUAGAGGAGGACUGACAGCAGCAGCAAGGGUGCAGAAGGAACGGCUUCAGCAAUGCCAAGAUCUUGGACAGAUUUGAACAGCCCAUGCUACAGCCUAUGGCACCCUGGCUAGCUAGAGCAUGGUAGGUCACGCCUGCCAUGCCCACACUGCCAGAAGAUGCCUGGCCAUUCUGUGGGCAUCUUUCAAAAGCUACAACAUCCCUGUGGCGAGCUACAAUGUCUUCCGAGCCCUUGUGCAAGUGCUUGGCAUUUACAUAGGUGGCUCCAGACCUGGAGUGUCAAUAAACACACACGAAGAAAAGACCAUAGUCCUUGGCAUUUGGUCCCUAGAUCCCAUAGACCUUUUCGGUCAUUGUACCCUUAAUUUUCUGUUUUCCCUCAGUGAGGCAGAAUUAAUUAAUCCUUAUUCCUCCAGGCAUCUAACAAGGACACCCACUGAUGUCUGUCAGUUAUUUUGGAGAAGACUUCAUAAGGUAGUGCCAAAAAGGUUGUUUUUCUCUGUGAUUACAAUAUAUAUGGUCCCAUGCUCUCCCUCAAUACCUUGGCUGGAAAAAGGAAAUCACAAUUCAGAAGUGGCUUAGGGUAAACUCAUUACUUUGUAAUGCCUCCAGUCUGACUGCAGCCAUCAGCCUUCCUGUUUUACACAGAGAUUGGACAUUUACAGGGGGAAUUGUCAUGGAGAUU